AAUAGGUUUGGUCCUGGCCUUUCUAUUAGCCCUCGGUAAGAUUACACAUGCAAGCAUCCCCGCCCCAGUGAGAUCGCCCUCCAAAUCACCCAUGAUCAAAAGGAGCAGGUAUCAAGCACGCA
rnacentral:rRNA from 1 species